GGAGGGGUGUCCGAGCGGUUUAAGGAGCUAGUCUUGAAAACUAGUGACUCGAAAGAGCCGUGGGUUCGAAUCCCACCCCCUCCGCCA
rnacentral:tRNA from 1 species